CCAAAAGAUUCAAAGCUACAAAGGCUCAAGGUUAAAUUUUCAAAAGGCACAAAGAAUAUCAGCCAAAAAUCUAGAUAGGCAUAUUUCUCCAGAUCUUAAAUUUUCAUAUUCCAUUGGAUGAAGGCAAUGCCCAGCUAUCUCAUCAAUUUGAAUAGAGAAACAAACGGACCAGUGACUGUACAAGAUGGUCAGAAGAUAGGAUCAGAUUAAUCAAAAAAAGUCAUACUGAAAUCAAAGUGAAGCCAUAGGAAUAAAUCCCUGGUUGAGUAGUGGGCAGAUUCAAUAUUCCCCUUAGUGUCAAAUAUGGUUUCUAGGAAUAAAUAUUGAAGAUUCUCUAUCUAUGUUUUCUCUAUUUCAAGUUCAUCAAAAUCCAUUAGUUCAUGUACACGAGUUGAUCAAAUACCUGUCAAAAAAAUCAGCCGAUUACCCUCAUUUCAAAUUUGAGCCAAAUCCUACUUUUGGAGAUUGGUCAACAAUUUAAGUCCUACCAUAGGAGAUUAGUCCAAAUCAGCUAAAGCGUCAAAAUUGGUCAGCUUAAGUCCCAAUAAAAGUUUCGAACAUAGGAUCAGAUUAAUCGAUCUUGACCCAGAUCUACAAGACUAAACUUCUUCAUGAUUUAGUCAAUCUUGACGUGGAUCGAUCAUCCUGCAAUAGAAAUUUCAAAAGGCAAUGGGUCAUUUAAGAAUAAUUCAUCUAGUGUAAAAAUACAAAAUAGAAUAAAAUACUAGAUCACUGGCUAAUAGAAAAAUGAAUAAAUGAGAUCUUUGCUUACUUCAUGUGAGAAUCUUCUCACUAUCAGUGGCAUUAGGAUUCCAAAUAGGGGCCAUUCAAAUAAGAAAAGUCUAAAUUUAAGGCCAAAGGAUGCAAGGGCUACACUGAUAAGCAACUUUGCAUGCCUUCAUAUUCUGCUCAUCUCAUAUAUUUUUUAGGCUCAACAAUCCUUUUCUUCUGUUUGAUUAUGUAUUAACAGAUUAGUAUGAAUUGUGGAUUAAUCACAAACCAACCUUUAGGCCUAGAAAGCAUAAUAAUUUUAAGUAUUU
rnacentral:lncRNA from 1 species